rnacentral:rRNA from 1 species
AACGACUCUCGGCAACGGAUAUCUCGGCUCUCGCAUCGAUGAAGAACGUAGCGAAAUGCGAUACUUGGUGUGAAUUGCAGAAUCCCGUGAACCAUCGAGUCUUUGAACGCAAGUUGCGCCCCAAACCUUCUGGUCGAGGGCACGUCUGCCUGG